GAUGAACGCUGGCGGCGUGCCUAAUACAUGCAAGUCGAGCGAACGGACGAUAAGCUUGCUUCUCUGCUGUUAGCGGCGGACGGGUGAGUAACGCGUGGAUCACCUACUUAUUAUACUGGGGUAACUUCGGGAAACCGGUGCUAAUACCGGAUAAUAUUUUGAACCGCAUGGUGCAAAAGUGAAACACGGUCUUGCUGUCUCUUUUAGCUGGAUCCGCGGUGCAUUAGCUAGUUGGUAAGGUAACGGCUUACCAAGGCAACGAUGCGUAGCCGGCCUGAGAGGGUGAUCAGCCACACUGGAACUGAGACACGGUCCAGACUCCUACGGGAGGCAGCAGUAGGGAAUCUUCCGCAAUGGGCGAAAGCCUGACGGAGCAACGCCGCGUGAGUGAUGAAGGUCUUCGGAUCGUAAAACUCUGUUAUUAGGGAAGAACAUAUGUGUAAGUAACUGUGCACGUCUUGACGGUACCUAAUCAGAAAGCCCCGGCUAACUACGUG
rnacentral:rRNA from 1 species